rnacentral:rRNA from 1 species
GCGAAAAGAACCCCUGUGAGGGGAGUGAAAUAGAUCCUGAAACCGCAUGCAUACAAGCAGUGGGAGCACCUUCGUGGUGUGACUGCGUACCUUUUGUAUAAUGGGUCAGCGACUUAUAUUCAGUAGCAAGGUUAACCGUAUAGGGGAGCCGUAGAGAAAUCGAGUCUUAAUAGGGCGUUUAGUUGCUGGGUAUAGACCCGAAACCAGGCGAUCUAUCCAUGAGCAGGUUGAAGGUUGGGUAACACUAACUGGAGG